rnacentral:rRNA from 1 species
GGGGAAUCUUCCGCAAUGGACGAAAGUCUGACGGAGCAACGCCGCGUGAGUGAUGAAGGAUUUCGGUCUGUAAAGCUCUGUUGUUUAUGACGAACGUGCAGUGUGUGAACAAUGCAUUGCAAUGACGGUAGUAAACGAGGAAGCCACGGCUAACUACGUGCCAGCAGCCGCGGUAAUACGUAGGUGGCGAGCGUUGUCCGGAAUUAUUGGGCGUAAAGAGCAUGUAGGCGGCUUAAUAAGUCGAGCGUGAAAAUGGCGGGGCUCAACCCCGUAUGGCGCUGGAAACUGUUAGGCUUGAGUGCAGGAGAGGAAAGGGGAAUUCCCAGUGUAGCGGUGAAAUGCGUAGAUAUUGGGAGGAACACCAGUGGCGAAGGCGCCUUUCUGGACUGUGUCUGACGCUGAGAUGCGAAAGCCAGGGUAGCGAAUG